UAGGGAAUCUUCGACAAUGGGGGCAACCCUGACCGAGCAACGCCGCGUGAGUGAAGAAGGUUUUCGGAUCGUAAAGCUCUGUUGUAAGAGAAGAACGUGUGUGAGAGUGGAAAGUUCACACAGUGACGGUAACUUACCAGAAAGGGACGGCUAACUACGUGCCAGCAGCCGCGGUAAUACGUAGGUCCCGAGCGUUGUCCGGAUUUAUUGGGCGUAAAGCGAGCGCAGGCGGUUUAAUAAGUCUGAAGUUAAAGGCAGUGGCUUAACCAUUGUUCGCUUUGGAAACUGUUAAACUUGAGUGCAGAAGGGGAGAGUGGAAUUCCAUGUGUAGCGGUGAAAUGCGUAGAUAUAUGGAGGAACACCGGUGGCGAAAGCGGCUCUCUGGUCUGUAACUGACGCUGAGGCUCGAAAGCGUGGGGAGCAAACAGG
rnacentral:rRNA from 1 species